AGUUAUGCUCCGGGAAAGGUAUGGCUAGGCAACAAAAAAUAAAUAUGCGGGUUUCCGGUUUCCCGACCCUACCUAGCUUUUGGACGUCGAAAUCCCGACCCUAAACUUUUUUUAUUGGAUCAUGCUUGUAAGUGUUUCCACUUAGAGGAAAAAGUUUGUGGAAAAUUGAAAUUUGAGGAAAUAUUAGGGACAUUUAUCUUUGGAUGUGGAAGCACUGACUAAACAAAAUGGCGUCCGCUUAUUCGGAAAAUUAAAAAAAAAAUUUAAAAAAAAAAGUUAAAACCGACCUACCCUACCUAAGUUUUUAUAAGAAGAAACCGGAAACCCACAUAUUUUUUUUUUGGCCCUAGUCUAUAUUAUUACAAUCUCGCUUACUAAUAAUAAAAUCUUUAUUUAAACUGCAUAAUUGUGUCAGCUGACAAUAUGAUGACCGCUGGUAUUAAUACAAGUGCAAAUGUGCAAUAAAUCGCUACAAUGUUGGCAAAGACAAAC